rnacentral:rRNA from 1 species
CAAUAGCGUAUAUUAAAGUUGUUGCAGUUAAAAAGCUCGUAGUUGGAUUUGUGGCGUACGGUGUGUUCCGGGCACUUGUUGUCUGAGUAACCUGCUGUUGCCAUCCUUGGGUGGAACCUGUGUGGCAUUAGGUUGUCGUGCAGGGGAUGCCCAUCAUUUACUGUGAAAAAAUUAGAGUGUUCAAAGCAGGCUUAUGCCGUUGAAUAUAUUAGCAUGGAAUAACGAGAUAGGACUUUUUUGCUAUUUUGUUGGUUUGCGCAAAGAGGUAAUGAUUAAUAGGGACAGUUGGGGGUAUUCGUAUUCCAUUGUCAGAGGUGAAAUUCUUGGAUUUUUGGAAGACGAACUACUGCGAAAGCAUUUACCAAGGAUGUUUUCAUUAA